AUGAUUCCCUCUCUAAAUUUCAAACAGGAGCCGCAGAUUGCGGUAAAGAACCCAGGCUUGCGAGGCUGCACCCCGAGCGAGACGAACAACGCUGCGCUUGGGUUCAGCCGUCCCGGCUCCCUGUGUUCCGCGCGACCGUUAUCUUAUGUGAAUGGCAACCACCUCGUCCCUGACCCAGGCAGAGCGCUCCAGCCGAGACGAAGGAAGAGCAGCGGGGCGAAGGAGAGCGCAGUGUGUCAAUGGCACCCUGUAGUAAACUUGCUGCGGUGCAUGCUGGGAGACUCCUUCCAUUCAUUGUCGGAUGCCGCAGGCGGGCGGUCCGGCUUGCGACAUCAUCAUCACGGGGAAUCUUCUUUGUGAAUUCGUUCGUGCAUCCAUGUAUCCAACACAUGUAAAUACGAGAGUGUAAACCUACGAUUGUCACAGGUGUCAUGGUGGCCACAGCAGACACAAUUCCAUGAGGGAGCCUUGAGGCUACAGACUGUUUUUUAUUCUGUCGACAUGCUCGUGUGUGUUUGUGAGGUCCUUUUCUGUGGUCCUGCCACCCUUUUUCACCGUGUCGCAGGUGGGAAAAAUGGCAGGUGUUGCUGUGCGUGACGGCAAGGUUAUACCGAAAUGGAUUGAUCGCUGCAGGCCCCCGUCCCUCGGCUCCGCACCCUUCUCUCUAGCGCUCUCCGUCUCCCUUCGUCCCCGCGGUGGCUGCUGAGACUGCGUGUCACUCACGCACCUACUCGUUCACUCGCUCGCCCACUAUCACCUGAACGCUCUGCGUCAUUCUGACUUCUUCUCUCAUGCCAGACCGUGGAACCAGAGCGGUGCCUCAGUUCAAGUGGAUUUAUAGUUAAUUUAACACAUACUACUGACUUUUUAUUACCAGGUGCUUCAGAGGAGGUGUAUAUGGCCGGGAGCACACUAGCAGAGCGGUGCAAUCAUUUUGCGACUAGAACGGAGCGUGUUAUCACAUUAUUUUUCAUAUCCCACCAACACUUCCCCGACAGAACAGCGUAGAGUGAUAUGUUAAAGCGCCAGGCAGGGGCAUGUGGAGACGGAUGUCCAACACCGGAGGCAGAGAGCAGCAGAAGUAAAUGUCUCCUGGAAGCUAACCAACAAAUGGGGCCUAUAGCGCAGGUGAAUGAUUGACAGUUCUGUCCUCCAAUAGCUGGGCUUUGUUUCUGGAGGGGCGGGAGCUUUGAAAGGUGAUUCGCUGGAGUCUGGUAUGGCAUUUUUUUAUUCUUCACGGUAUUCUUAAGAAGUAGGAGCACUUUAGCGCUACUGCCUGGCCUUUGAGAAUAUCUGUUUUGCACAGUUUUGUGAUGAUACACAGUUAAAGAGUGAGGAGACUAAGCAGAUAAAGGACAUC
rnacentral:lncRNA from 1 species